GCCAGACUCCUACGGGAGGCAGCAGUGGGGGAUAUUGCACAAUGGGGGGAACCCUGAUGCAGCGACGCCGCGUGGGUGAAGGAGCGUUUCGGCGCGUAAAGCCCUAUCGGCAGGGAAGAAGGAGGACGGUACCUGACUAAGAAGCCCCGGCUAACUACGUGCCAGCAGCCGCGGUAAUACGUAGGGGGCAAGCGUUAUCCGGAUUUACUGGGUGUAAAGGGGGCGCAGACGGCAGCGCAAGCCAGGAGUGAAAGCCCGGGGCCCAACCCCGGGACUGCUCUUGGAACUGCGCGGCUGGAGUGCAGGAGGGGCAGGCGGAAUUCCUGGUGUAGCGGUGAAAUGCGUAGAUAUCAGGAGGAACACCGGUGGCGAAGGCGGCCUGCUGGACUGCGACUGACGUUGAGGCCCGAAAGCGUGGGGAGCAAACAGGAUUAGAUACCCCCGUAACA
rnacentral:rRNA from 1 species